rnacentral:sRNA from 1 species
UUUUUUGGCUUUUUUUG